rnacentral:rRNA from 1 species
AAGACCUUGCGCUUUUGGAGCGGCCGAUGCCUGAUUAGCUUGUUGGUAAGGUAAAAGCUUACCAAGGCUUCGAUCAGUAGCUGGUCUGAGAGGACGGCCAGCCACACUGGGACUGAGACACGGCCCAGACUCCUACGGGAGGCAGCAGUGGGGAAUUUUGGACAAUGGGCGCAAGCCUGAUCCAGCCAUGCCGCGUGAGUGAAGAAGGCCUUCGGGUUGUAAAGCUCUUUCAGCCGGGAAGAAAAGGUUGCGAUUAAUAAUCGCAAUUUAUGACGGUACCGGAAGAAGAAGCACCGGCUAACUACGUGCCAGCAGCCGCGGUAAUACGUAGGGUGCGAGCGUUAAUCGGAAUUACUGGGCGUAAAGGGUGCGCAGGCGGUUUUGUAAGUCAGAUGUGAAAUCCCCGGGCUUAACCUGGGAACU